rnacentral:rRNA from 1 species
UACGAAGGGGGCUAGCGUUGUUCGGAAUUACUGGGCGUAAAGCGCACGUAGGCGGACAUUUAAGUCAGAGGUGAAAUCCCGGGGCUCAACCUCGGAACUGCCUUUGAUACUGGGUGUCUAGAGUAUGGAAGAGGUAAGUGGAAUUGCGAGUGUAGAGGUGAAAUUCGUAGAUAUUCGCAGGAACACCAGUGGCGAAGGCGGCUUACUGGUCCAUUACUGACGCUGAGGUGCGAAAGCGUGGGGAGCAAACAGG